CAUAGUAUUGCACCAGUCCAUCUUGGGGUUGUUAGAUGUCAACAGUUUAAGAAGAGGCAUCACAUGCGAUUGUUGAAGGUAUUUGCAGACUUGGAGAAAGUCCUUUCCUUGAAGUGGAGAUGUCCACCACAGGAAGCCUUCCACUGA